rnacentral:rRNA from 1 species
AACGCUAGCUACAGGCUUAACACAUGCAAGUCGAGGGGCAGCAUGAACUUAGCUUGCUAAGUUUGAUGGCGACCGGCGCACGGGUGAGUAACGCGUAUCCAACCUGCCCUUUACGCGGGGAUAGCCUUCUGAAAGGAAGAUUAAUACAAGAUGGCAUCAUGAGUCCGCAUGUUCACAUGAUUAAAGGUAUUCCGGUAGACGAUGGGGAUGCGUUCCAUUAGAUAGUAGGCGGGGUAACGGCCCACCUAGUCUUCGAUGGAUAGGGGUUCUGAGAGGAAGGUCCCCCACAUUGGAACUGAGACACGGUCCAAACUCCUACGGGAGGCAGCAGUGAGGAAUAUUGGUCAAUGGGCGAGAGCCUGAACCAGCCAAGUAGCGUGAAGGAUGACUGCCCUAUGGGUUGUAAACUUCUUUUAUAAAGGAAUAAAGUCGGGUAUGGAUACCCGUUUGCAUGUACUUUAUGAAUAAGGAUCGGCUAACUCCGUGCCAGCAGCCGCGGUAAUACGGAGGAUCCGAGCGUUAUCCGGAUUUAUUGGGUUUAAAGGGAGCGUAGAUGGAUGUUUAAGUCAGUUGUGAAAGUUUGCGGCUCAACCGUAAAAUUGCAGUUGAUACUGGAUAUCUUGAGUGCAGUUGAGGCAGGCGGAAUUCGUGGUGUAGCGGUGAAAUGCUUAGAUAUCACGAAGAACUCCGAUUG